GUUACAGUGGCAAGGCUCAAUGUACAGUAAAGACAACUGAUUGGUUAACAGCAGGCAGGGAAGGAAGCAACGAGAGAGGAAGACAUUGGUAAAUGGGAGACUUCACGGUUACACUGUAUGUGGACUGCUGCUGCGCCAUCAUUCACUUUGUCAACGUGCCGUUUGCUCACUUAGAAAACCUGCUGUCAGUGGAACGAAACGCUUAUGAAAAUCACGUCUGGAGUUUUAAAUGUUCUGGAAAUGUGUUGGAAAAUAAAGUAAUACAUUUAAGAAUGUGUUAGAAAAAGGAGCAUCAUCUAAUGUCCCCCCCGUUCUCCUUUUACAGGCCAUGUAUUUUCCCUCCCAUCAACCCUGCUACUCAAAGCAAAGAGAGGGGAGACCCAGCCAAGCUCCCCCUCCGGGAGCUCCCCCUCCAGGAGCUCCCCAUCCAGGAACACCAGAGGAAAGUGGAGGACAACAAGCAUCUACUUGAGGAGCUGGCGCGUAUGGAGGAGGAGCUGAUAGACCGUCUUCGCAGGGAGGUGGCGAGACAGAGAGAGCUGAACGUUCUGCGACAGGAGGACAACAGGCUACGCUGGAGGACACUGUGCUUCCUCCAGCUCAACCAGCGCCUCAAAAAGUACGUACCACAGACUUUACAAUAUAAAAAUGUUUCUCUCCAGAUAUGAUACUGUAGUAUGAAUUUAUGAGAUAGUGAAAGGCUAUCAAGGACAUAUACUACAUUAAUCCUCCCAAAGGAGAUAACCUACUGGUAACCUGUUGAUACCUGGUAGUACAGUCUCCUCCCAAAGGAGAUAACCUACUGGUAACCUGUUGAUACCUGGUAGUACAGUCUCCUCCCAAAGGAGAUAACCUACUGGUAACCUGUUGAUACCUGGUAGUACAGUCUCCUCCCAAAGGAGAUAACCUACUGGUAACCUGUUGAUGCCUGGUAGUACAGUCUCCUCCCAAAGGAGAUAACCUACUGGUAACCUGUUGAUACCUGGUAGUACAGUCUCCUCCCAAAGGAGAUAACCUACUGGUAACCUGUUGAUGCCUGGUAGUACAGUCUCCUCCCAAAGGAGAUAACCUACUGGUAACCUGUUGAUGCCUGGUAGUACAGUCUCCUCCCAAAGGAGAUAACCUACUGGUAACCUGUUGAUACCUGGUAGUACAGUCUCCUCCCAAAGGAGAUAACCUACUGCUAACCUGUUGAUACCUGGUAGUACAGUUUAUUCUACAGAUGCUGUUUUACUGUAUUUACACCAUGCUGACUCUCUAUGUUUUGCCAGGCCUGUUGUAACCAGCUAUUACAAGAACAUCCCGAUGCACAUCUACUGUCUCCCUAUUCAGACUGUUGGAAAAGGCAACAGUAACAAGACGAAGAAGAAGAAUAAGAAGUGGCAGAGAUGAGAAGAAGAGGAAGUAGAAUAGGAGUGUAGUCUGGGAGGAUGCGUGUGACAGUUCAUCGGAGGAAGAGGAAGUAGAAUAGGAGUGCAGUCUGGGAGGAUGCGUGUGACAGUUCAUCGGUUCCACUUCCAUGUACCACUGUGGGACACAGGACUAUGGAAUUCACAAGUCCUGCUGAACACUGCUUCUUUAACAUUCUGUACUGCAUUGGGAAAAAAAAGAAAGUCACAAAGAAUAUUUUGGAUAUCUAUAUGCUCUCUCUCCGGUAUUUCUUACUUUGCCACUAUACUGAUAUACACUGCCUUCGGAAAGCAUUCAGACCCCUUCCCCCUUUUCCACAUUUUGUUACGUUACAGCCUUAUUCUAAUAUGGAUUAAAUAAAAUAAAAAAAUCCUCAGUAAUGUACACACAAUACACCACGAUGACAUCACAAUACACCACGAUGACAUCACAAUACACCACAAUGACAUCACAAUACACCACGAUGACAUCACAAUACACCACAAUACACCAUAAUGACAUAGAGAAAACAGGUUGUUCAUUAUUGUGUGUGCAAAUGUAUAAAAAUAAAUAAAAAAACACCUUGUUUACAUAAGUAUUCUGACUCUUUGCUAUGAGACUGGAAAUUGAGCUCAGGUGCAUCCUGUUUCCAUUUAUCAUCCUUGAGAUGUUUCCACAACUCGAUUGGCGUCCACCACAUUUCUGCAGCAUUGAAGUUCACCGAGAACACAGUGGCCUCCAUCAUUCUUAAAUGGAGGACGUUUGGAACCACCUAGACUCUUCCUAAAGCUGGCCGCAAAUGGGGGAGAAGGGCCUUGGUCAAGGAGGUGACCAAGGACCCGAUGGUCACUCUGACAGAGAUCUAGAGUUCCUCUGUGGAGAUGGGAGAACCUUCCAGAAGGACAACCAUCUCUGCAGCACUACACCAAUCAGGCCUUUAUGGUAGAGAGGCCAGACUGAAGCCACUCCUCUGUUAAAUACACAUGACCUCUUGCUUGGAGUUUUCCAAAAGG
rnacentral:lncRNA from 13 species